rnacentral:rRNA from 1 species
AGAGUUUGAUCCUGGCUCAGGAUAACGCUGGCGGCGCACAUAAGACAUGCAAGUCGAACGAACUUAACCAUUAGUUUACUAUUGGAGCGGUUAGUGGCGGACUGGUGAGUAACACGUAAGCAACCUGCCUAUCAGAGGGGAACAACAGUUAGAAAUGACUGCUAAUACCGCAUAUGCCUUGAGUAUCACAUGGUACAAAAGGGAAAGGAGCAAUCCGCUGAUAGAUGGGCUUGCGUCUGAUUAGAUAGUUGGUGAGGUAACGGCCCACCAAGUCGACGAUCAGUAGCCGGACUGAGAGGUUGAACGGCCACAUUGGGACUGAGAUACGGCCCAGACUCCUACGGGAGGCAGCAGUCGGGAAUAUUGCGCAAUGGAGGAAACUCUGACGCAGUGACGCCGCGUGCAGGAAGAAGGUUUUCGGAUUGUAACUGCUUUAGACAGGGAAGAACAAGACAGUACCUGUAGAAUAAGCUCCGGCUAACUACGUGCCAGCAGCCGCGGU